rnacentral:rRNA from 1 species
AAAACAUGUCUUAUUGAUUAUAAUUUUAAGUCUAAUCUGCCCAAUGAUAUUUUAUUUAAUGGCUGCAGUAUUUAUAACUGUACAAAGGUAGCAUAAUAAUUAGUUUUUUAAUUGAAAACUAGAAUGAAAGAUUAAAUGAAAUAUAUACUAUAUAAAUAAAAUUAAAAAUUAAAAUUAAAAUUUAAGUAAAAAUUCUUAAAUUAUUUUAAAAGACGAGAAGACCCUAUAGAAUUUUAUUUUUUAUUAUUUUAAAAUUUAAUAAUAAAUUUAAAUAAAUAAUAAAAAAUUUAAUUGGGGUAAUUUUAAAAUUAAAUUAAUUUUUAUUUAAAAAACAUAAAUUAAUGAAUUUUUAAUCUUAAAAUUUAGAUUAAAAAAAUAAAUUACCUUAGG